GGAGGGUUGGCCGAGCGGCCGAAGGCAGCGGUCUUGAAAACCGCCGGGCCCCGCAAGGGGUCCCGUGGGUUCGAAUCCCACACCCUCCG
rnacentral:tRNA from 1 species